rnacentral:rRNA from 1 species
CCUACGGGUGGCAGCAGUGGGGAAUAUUGCACAAUGGGGGAAACCCUGAUGCAGCGACGCCGCGUGAGUGAAGAAGUAUCUCGGUAUGUAAAGCUCUAUCAGCAGGGAAGAAAAUGACGGUACCUGACUAAGAAGCCCCUGCUAACUACGUGCCAGCAGCCGAGGUAAUACGUAGGGGGCACGCGUUAUCCGGAUUUACUGGGUGUAAAGGGAGCGUAGACGGCACUGCAAGUCAGGAGUGAAAGCCCAUGGCUUAACGAUGGUACUGCUCUGGAAACUGUGGAGCUUGAGUGCGGGAGGGGCGGGCGGAAUUCGUGGUGUAGCGGUGAAAUGCGUAGAUAUUAGGAGGAACACCGGCGGCGAAGGCGGCCUACUGGACCGUAACUGACGUUGAGGCACGAAAGCGUGGGUAGCAAACAGGAUUAGAUACCCGUGUAGUC